UCUCAUGCCACUCCACCAUAACCGUGGACUUGACGGUGUCAACGGAUUUGACCGUUGCCAGGUGCACUCGACCUGGUUAACAUACAAACGAACAAACGAAAAGAGUGGUCAGAGAAGUACACACAGCUGCAGUAACACCACGGGAAUGACUUGUCUGUCCACAGGACUCACCAGAGAAGUCAUAUGUUUGCUGGCACGGUGCAGGGGUACAACAUGUGGACCCAGAGAUCUCAAAGAAAAACUACACCUCCACACAGAGUUUUACAGCCUGCCCUAAAACCACAGCGAUGGGCU